GUGGGCCCAUGAGACUCUGAGAUGGGGGACAGCAGCAUCAUGUAUCUGAAAAGAAAGCUCACAUUUGGCAGAACUCAUAAACAUACAAUAGCCUUCAACCUGCAUACACUGCACCAUCAUUUUAUGUGCUACAUAAUCACUACAUUACAUAGGAGAUAAACCCUAAGUAGGGAUGGGGGAACAUUAAGCCUUUGGAGGUAGAGAGAGACAUCCGAUAGAGGUCAGAGGAUAGAGACUUCUGGUACAGGUGAUGGGGGUGGAAAGGGUG